ensembl:lncRNA
AGGUCUUAGGAGAUAGUAUUUUUAAAGUGAAAAUUUAAAGAAAUUGGGUGAGAUUUAUAGAUAUUGGGAGAUAAAUGUUUAAAAAUUCUCUUAGGAUUUUAUGAGCUUCCAGUAUUGUCUGAAUGUUUUAGCUGUUGGUGAUUAUAUGUUUCUAAUAAACAGUUUGUGAGGUUGAAAUGUGCCCAUUUCAAGAAUGCCUUGCUUUCUUUAAAAACAAUAACAAGUAGACCAAUUCUCAAAAAGAAAGAUAUUUAGUUUUCAAAUACAAAAAAGUAAUUAAGGCACUAAAGAAGAAAGUUUGUUUUGUUUUUUUGUUUUGGCAGCUUUAUAAUUUUAAAAGUUAGUUCUCAUCCACAAUCACUGUCUGGAGAUUUUUGAAUGUGGCGAAAGGUUACCAAGACAGGGUCUCCCUAUGUAGUUCAGGCUGGCGAUCCUCCUGUCUCAGCCUCCUGAAUGGUGAGAAUACAGCCAUGUGCCACCAUACCCAGCUAAAAUACAAGAUUUUAAGUCAAAUAUUAGUCAUUGGUCUCUUUUUCAAUUAAGGUAUGGGUUUAUUGCUUAUGAUUUAAGGUUAUUUGUGUGAUUGGUUAUAACACUGUUAUGGCUUAUAUCUAGAUGUACCUCCAAAGCCUUAUGUACUUAUAUGUGGGGCUUUGGGGAAGUGAUUGGAUCAUGGGAGUGAUAAUUAUCAGUGGAUUAGUUCACUGAUGAGUUUGUAGCUAAAUGUGAUAUUGAGAAGUGGAGCCUGGUCAAAGGAGGCAGGUCAGAGGGAGUGUGACCUGGAAGGGUAUAUCUCCCUUCCAGCCUGCUUGCUUCACACUGUCCUCCUGAUCACCAUACCUUUGAGCAGUUCUCCAUUGCCAUGCCUCUCUGCCAUGCUGCCCUGCUUUGAAACCAGCCAACUAUGGACUGAAACCUCUUAUCAACUGUAAGCCAAAAUAAACCUUUCCUCUAAUUUGUUGGUUUCCAAUGUUGUGUCCCAGCAGUGGUAAUGAGGAAAGUAACUAAGAUAGAUUUUGGUACCAGCGAGGUAGGGUCAUUGCUGUGAUUGUAACUGACCAUGUGGCUUAGAGCCCUUUGGUUUGUGGGAAGAGUUUGGAAAGGUCUGGAGUUGCCAGCUGGAGAAACUAUGAGCCGAGCUUGAUGGGAGAUUGUGAUCAGAGCUCAGAAGACCAGAAUGCUGAUGGAGAUGCAGAUGGAAAAGACCAGGCUCAGGAGGUUUCAGUUAGUAACAAGGGCUCUGUUGGCAGUUGGACUCAAGAUCAUGUAUGUUGUGCUCUGGCAGAAAUUUGUCUACCUUUUGCUCAUUUCCUGAGACUUUGCAGGAGACUGAGAUUAAGGGGUGACAGACUAAACCAGGCAUGGUGGUGCGUGCCUAUAAUCCCAGCACUCAAGAGGCUGAGGCAGGAGGAUUGCCAUGAGGGUAGCCUAGCCUGCGUAGUGAGUUCAAGGUCAGGUUGAACUACAUAGCAAGACCCUGUCACACACACACACACAAAAGGUGGCAGACUGUUUAAUCUGAUGGAGAACAUUUUAAGGCAGCCUAACAUUUAGGCUAUGGCUUGAGUACUAUUGGGGGCUUUUAGCCAUCUCUCUGUAGACAAUCAAGGGCAAACGGUCCAAGAAGUUUUGAAUUUGGCCAGAAAGGAAGCUCUGAUAAAGUUGGGUCUGGCAAAGAUGGAGCAGAGAACUUGUUUACUAAAAAGAUUGGUAUUGAAAAGAAGCCAAGGUGAGGCAUGAAUGAUGCAUUCCUCUAAUCUCAGAAGUCAGAAGCCAGGAGGAUUACCUGACUUUGAGGCCAGCCUGGGCUACAUAGCAAGUUCAAGGCCAGUCUGAACUACAUAGCAAGACCUUGUCUCAGUUUACAGUGCUCAGCUGUCCAGACACUCAGAGGCCACUACAGAAGCAAUUCAAGGGGGCCUGGCUAUGCUCCACAUGGUUUGGUUUUAUAGGCAUGCAGAAUGCAAGAGUUGUGAGGUCAGGAAUGCUUCCACUAAGAUUUCAGGAGAUGGCUUGGGAGGCCAGGCAGUGUGCCCCCAAGAAGGCAGUAUGUGAAGCUGUGGGAGUGAAGCCAAAACUGCAGUGGAGACCCCAGAAAGUUGGAGUUGCCAGGAACAUGGAAUGUCUGAGGAAAGCUAGAGGGGAGACAGCAAGGGUCACGGCAUGAAGUGGCUAACGUGGCAUGGCUGAUGUGGCAGACGGUUAAUACAAAUGAACACCUAUUUACUGGAAAUUGCCCUUUGUGAAACCUUUCGAGGUGUAGAACAAUUAUUUUUAGGGGCCCUCUUGCAUAUAUUUACUGGAGGUCCCUAGACCCCAUGACCCUUAGCUCACCCUAGCAAUAGCUCAUCCCAGUAACAAAGGCUAAGACCCUGAUUGACCUAGAGUAUACCAAUCAGUGAAGACCCCACAAUCCUUAAGUCACCCUAGACUAGUUUACCCCUAUGGGCAGAGCAAAGACACCACGUUGAGAAGCUCAUUGGAGCUUUCCCUGCCUUACAGCUUGCUGUUUGGUAGCUUGGUCUCCACUUUUCUCAUCUUAUAAAUAAACCUGUCACUACUAUCAUUUCUGACUUCCCCCUUCUACUAUGGAUGACCUGACUUCUUCAUUCUCCACUUGGGGAAUCUUUGUCUUGCUGGAGUAAGGGGAUGGACCCAGAGAGGUGGAGGGUCUUUUCACGGGAAGACGACUCCUAGCUUUCCAGACCCUCAUCUGAUGCUACAGCUCCAAGGAGUGAGCAAAGCCACCCUAAGAGAAAAGCCAUUAGGGCUGCAACCACCAGCAGUGAGGCAGGGGCGGAGCCACCCAAACCCUUUGGAAUUUGCAUCCUCAUAGACUUGGAACUAUGGAUUUUGUUUAAUGUUUGUCCUGCUGGAUUUUGGGCAUGCUUUGGUCCCAUUACUUUGUUCUCCUACUUCUCCCUUUUGGAAUGAGAAUGUUUAUUCUUUGCCAUUGUAUACUGGAAGCAUUUCAUCCUUCUUUGAUUUUUACAGGAGCUUUCAGCUAAGAAUUUGAGUUUCAGAGGAGACUUGGACUUUGGACUUUUCAGCAGUACUGGAACAGUUAGGACUUUGGCAACUCGUAGAAGUGGACUAAAUGCAGUUUGCAUAAACAGAUAUGCAUGAAUAAGCCUAUGGGGAGCAGGAUGGAAUGUUACAGUUUAUAUCUAGAUGCCCCUCCCCCCAAGUUUCAUUUGCAUAUAGGUAUAGUACUCUCCCUCUCCUGUGGCUCACCUUAUUUUCUCUGCUUUCUGGCCAUUUUGAGCAGUUCUCUUCUGCUAUGCCUUUCUGCCAUGCCGACUUUCUUUGGAGCCAAUGGACUGUGGACUGAAACUUCUAUAGACUGUGAGCCAAAAUAAACCUCUGCUUCCUUAAGUUGUGGAUGUUGGAGAUUGUGUCUUAACAAAAGAAAGUGACUAAGACAAAUACAAAAGUAGAUGUUAUCAUUAUCUACUUUUCUAAUUCUUUUAGAAUUAAUCUCCAUAAUGGAAUCAAUAGGUGAUGGAUGAUAAGGCGAUACAAAACAGUUUAAAAUUUUUUUCUCAAAAGAUUUUGAAUGACUUUAAGAUAGUAAACUUUAAAAAUAAUUUUUAUUCUGCCACUAAGCUGUAUUCCCAGCCCACUUUUUAUUUUUUAAAUUUUGAAACAG